GGCGGACAGUGUGAGGGUUUGGUGUGGAGACACUGAACAGGAAGAGGCGCUGUGUGUGAUGAUGAUGAUGAUGAUGAAGAGGGUUUUCCGCUGUGUUACUGCGCCACCUGCUGGAUGCACCCCCCCCUGUUUGCAGUUACAGUAAAAGCAGUAGAAGAAGAAGAACACGCAGCGUGCUCCCAGCACCACCGAAGAACGAACUGAGGAAGUGCCGCUGCCUGACGUGACUACCGGAGGCGAACAGGGUGCUGAGUCGGUAACUGGGUGAUCGUUGCUGCACUACGUGGUUUAAUCUGAACCUGCUGCUGUGGUUGUUGGCGUGCAGCUCUGCGUGUACUUCCUGUCACCGCUGACCCUGACGAUGGUGCUGAGGGAGGUUCCAG